AGUGAACGUUGGGGGGAGGAAGAACAAAGGCAAGUCGAACGGCAGCACAGUAAGAGCUUGCUCUUACGGGUGGCGAGUGGCGGACGGGUGAGGAAUACAUCGGAAUCUACUUUUUCGUGGGGGAUAACGUAGGGAAACUUACGCUAAUACCGCAUACGACCUACGGGUGAAAGCAGGGGAUCUUCGGACCUUGCGCGAUUGAAUGAGCCGAUGUCGGAUUAGCUAGUUGGCGGGGUAAAGGCCCACCAAGGCGACGAUCCGUAGCUGGUCUGAGAGGAUGCACAGCCACACUGGAACUGAGACACGGUCCAGACUCCUACGGGAGGCAGCAGUGGGGAAUAUUGGACAAUGGGCGCAAGCCUGAUCCAGCCAUACCGCGUGGGUGAAGAAGGCCUUCGGGUUGUAAAGCCCUUUUGUUGGGAAAGAAAAGCAGCAGGUUAAUACCCCGCUGUUCUGACGGUACCCAAAGAAUAAGCACCGGCUAACUUCGUG
rnacentral:rRNA from 1 species